rnacentral:rRNA from 1 species
CCUACGGGAGGCAGCAGUGGGGAAUCUUGCGCAAUGGGCGAAAGCCUGACGCAGCCAUGCCGCGUGAAUGAUGAAGGUCUUAGGAUUGUAAAAAUUCUUUCACCGGGGACGAUAAUGACGGUACCCGGAGAAGAAGCCCCGGCUAACUUCGUGCCAGCAGCCGCGGUAAUACGAAGGGGGCUAGCGUUGCUCGGAAUUACUGGGCGUAAAGGGAGCGUAGGCGGAUAGUUUAGUCAGAGGUGAAAGCCCAGGGCUCAACCUUGGAAUUGCCUUUGAUACUGGCUAUCUUGAGUGUGGGAGAGGUUAGCGGAACUCCGAGUGUAGAGGUGAAAUUCGUAGAUAUUCGGAAGAACACCAGUGGCGAAGGCGGCUAACUGGCCCAUUACUGACGCUGAGGCUCGAAAGCGUGGGGAGCAAACAGGAUUAGAUACCCUGGUAGUCCACGCCGUAAACGAUGAGUGCUAGUUGUCGGCAUGCAUGCAUGUCGGUGACGCAGCUAACGCAUUAAGCACUCCGCCUGGGGAGUACGGUCGCAAGAUUAAAAACUCAAAAGGAAUUGAACGG